ACUUCCAGAUCCCUCUCACUUUCCUCUUCCCACCAACUCCAACCUGGGACCAAGCAGGGGAAAGCAGCUGCAGCCCAGCUUGACGCCCCUGCAAAUGGAGACCUGUGCACCUGGUUGUGAGCAUUUUAAAGGGUGUCACACAGGGCAUACCCUUCGGUGCCUGGAUUCCUUUGGUAAGUGUUAUAUUAGGGAGACGCACCCUUGCUGUUGUGUGUGGCAAGAUUUGUGCAUUCUCAUUUUUCCAUGAUAUUCCUCUGCAUACCUAUCCCAUAAUUCACUGAUCCAUCCUAGUGUUGAAAAGCAUUGAAGGAGUUUCUGGUCAUUGGCUGUUACAAACAGUGAUGCCCGAAUGCUCUGGUGAUGGUCCUUUUGUGGACGUGGACACAUUUUUCUUGCAAUUGUGCCUAAAUGUGGAAUCUCCAGGUGGGAGGCUGUGCUCAUAUUCAGCUUCAGUAGAGAGUUCGUGUCCCAUGGGAGCUGCACCCCCGAUUAUGUUUCCUGUUGCAAGCCCUUUUUACUCCUGGUCUUGGGUUCAAAUGUUGAUUCCCUUCCUUUCUAGCCAUUUGACCUGGAACCAUCUAGGUAACCAUGCAGAGCAACAAUUUCCUGCUUAUCUGUAAAAUAGGGAUAAGAAUAGUACCUCCCACCCGGGUCCCUGUAAGGAAAUGCGGCAGUCCAGGAAAAUUGCUUAGAAUAGUGACUGUCACGUACAAAUUCUCAACAUAUUAGGUGUUAUUACUCUUUUUAUUUAUAAUAAUAAUGAUGGCCUUAUCAAAUUAUUUGGAGGCAAUCUGACUUUAUCUGUAAUUUGCAUAGAUGAAAGGGCAAAGCCUUGAACCUAAGUCAUCUUCGAGUCCUCAGCACUUCACCCAGAGCCUGGCACACAGUAGGAGCACAGAAAGGUUUACAUCCAGCAGGAGUUGGCCCUGAGCUCUGAGUCCAGAUCAUUGCUCUUGGCUGAAGCAGCCUGUCUACUCACAAAGAUGAGCAUGGUCCCUGCCACGAGGAAACUCGUGGUCCUGUGGACUGCGGUGUGGAGGGAAAGCUUGGGAUUCUGAGCCUGAUAAUGCACCAUUACAUCCCCACUCACUCGGGCUGUGUGAACCCAGCAAGUCACAGGAUCACUGGGUGGUGAAAGAAAGAAACACUCACAGAAGCGUCUGUGCUUGGAGAGCCAUCUGGUCCGUCAUUGUGACUGCUGCUCUCAUUGCUAUCAUGGGUGUCACCAUUGCCAUCACUCAAGGACUUCUCUCCAGGCCCCGAAGCCAAGCUGGUGCCUGGUUCCUCUGGGUUGGGAGAGGGGCUGGGCAUGGACAGGAGGAGGGAAAAGGGACCUGUGCUAGCAGGUGAUGCCAUCCAAGACAUCUGCAUCCUAAUCCCUGGAACCUGGGAUUCCACUAGGUGCCAUGGCAAAGAGGGAUUAAGGUGGCAGGUGGAGUGAAGGUUGCUAAUCAGCCGACCUUAAAGUAGGGAGAUGAUCCUGAAUGAGACAAAAGAGAGAACCAGUCAUGGUGUCAUGAGAAGGACUCAAAAUGCAACUGCUGACUUUGAAGAUUAAGGGGCUACAAACCAAGGAACGUGGUAGUCUCUGGAAAAGACAAGGAAUAGACGCUGCGUUGGGGCCACCAGAAGGAACCAGCCCUGUCAACACCCUAAUUUUAGCCCAGUGAGGCCUGUGCUGGACUUCUGACCUCCAGAACUGUAAACUAAUAAAUGUGUGUUGUUUCUGCCA
ensembl:lncRNA LINC00917 long intergenic non-protein coding RNA 917